rnacentral:lncRNA from 1 species
AUUUCUAAGAUCUUUUGCAACAAGUUGAUUAGAUUGAAGUGAAAAUUUUUUAUAUGGAUAUUAGACUUGAUUUCCAAAAUUUAGGUGAAAUUUGAGAGCAAUUCAAUAAUCCAAGGAAAUAUUAGCACUAGAAAUUCAGCAUUGAGGUUGGAGUAGGAGGCCGCCCAACACCCGAUUGGAUUAUCUUAUAUUUCUCUCAAUUGAUAAGUGCAAUUGAUUUUAUCUUUUUUGUGCUUUUUUUUAACUAAGAUAUUAAAAAAUAUGCAAAUUUUGAGUUCAUAUCAAUAGUUUGAUCAUUAAUUGUUGAAGUUCUAUUUUGCUAUAGGAUUUGUUAAGUUUUGGUUUAGGAUUUGGUUUAAGAUUUGGUUUAGAACUUUUUAAGGAUUUUUCUAAGAUUUAUGAUUUCAUUAGAGAUUCAUUAGGAUUUGACGUAGGAUUUGAUUAAAUUUCAAUUAGGAUUUCAAUUAGGAUUUGACCUAGGAUUUGGUUAAUCUUAAUUAGGAUUUUAAUUAGAGUUUGACCUAAGAUUUGGAUUAAGAUCUAAUUAAGGUUUUCAUUAGGAUUAUAUUCAAAUUUAUAUUUUUAAUAUUUUUUUAGAAUUCUUUAUAUUAUUUCUGUAAAAACUUUUAAAUUUAUUUUAAUAGGUUAAAAUUUUAUUGGAUUUAUUAAGAAUUACUUGAAGUAUAUUAAAAGGUCUAUUAGACUUAGUAGAAUUAUUGUCGCAUUUUUACAUACCUUCCACAAUUAAGUGCUCAAUGCAUUUUCAAGCAAAAAUAUAUGUAAUACAACAAAGUAUUGAUAUCUUAAGGAA